rnacentral:rRNA from 1 species
AAACGCUGAAGGCAUCUAAGCGUGAAGCCCCCCUUAAGAUGAGAUAUCCCAUUCGAAAGAAGUAAACCCCCUUGAAGACGACGAGGUAGAUAGGGCAGAGGUGGAAGUGUGGUAACACAUGGAGCUGACUGUUACUAAUCGGGUGAGGGCUUGACCAAG